GGAGCAGUUCGGUAGCUCGUCGGGCUCAUAACCCGGAGGUCGUCGGUUCAAAUCCGGCC
rnacentral:tRNA from 1 species